rnacentral:misc_RNA from 1 species
AUUUGUUCUUUGAAGCUCUUGUCGGUAUUCUCUUGCCCUCGCUGGGUUAAAAGGUUGCGUUUCCUCUUAUGCCAGUAAUGGAAUAAGUUGGCAUCUGCGGCGGCGUUGGCGCAUUAACAGAGUUGCCACUGAGAAAUGAGGUCCCAUUGAAGCAUGAGCCACUCACAGGGACACUGGUACUGUUGCCUAUGUUGUGGUUCUGCAUGUUGUUCAUGAUGUCCG